UAAUUUCUCUUUUUGGGUUGUAAUUUUAUUUCUAAGUAAAUGUUUGUUUAAGCCUUCAAGAAUAUUAUGAUUAUAAUCUUUUGGAAAAAGGCUUAAAUAUGUCACUGAACUAUUAGAAAUGACUCAUUUAUGACAUUCGUUAAAAGUUCGGCUCAUUCAUGCCAUUGCCGUUACGAAACAGACCCAUUCAUGCCAUUACUUUUUAACAGCCGAUUUUUUUAAAAAUUUUUGCCACGUGACAUCUUAUUAGAGGUCCACGUUAUUAAGUACAAUAAAUUAAUUUUAAUUAAAAUAAAAAACAUGAGACCCAUUUAAUAUCCCAUCCAUUAAAUUACCCGAUCCACAUCCAUUCAAUAUUACUCUUCCGAUGGAUCUAAGUUCACAUAUUCUGGAAAACUAAACCCGCGAAAGUGAAAAAGAACCAUGAAUGAGGGUUAAAAAAAUGUUGGUUCUUCGGUUGAUAGACAAAUGACAUCAUUUAUUCCAGAAUUGGUUAAUCUUAGGUAUAGGUCGGGCAUAAAAUAGCCGUCUGAAGACGAUUUUGGUUCUGCAUCUUAUACGGAUCCCGAGCUUUGUUUGAAUGCUAUAUGUGCUUUGUACCGUCAACAAAUUUCUAGAAACAAAUUCUCCUCGAUGAGUAAGAAUGACAAAAAAAGGAUUACUGCUUUAGGGGUGUUUCUGUGUGAUGAGGAUCGCGAAAACAAGCUCAAGAGAACAAUUUCGGAGGUUGGACCGGAAGAUCUUUGGAGAUGCAAGACACUGUCUAUUCAAUACUACUGCCAAAUAUAUGGGAUUUACAAUAGCAAGAAAGACCAUCUGUUCUGCCCCGGUGCUGCUAUCUGGAAAUUAAGCUCCAGUUGACGCGAAGGCUGUCUGCUUGUCUCUAUGUGUACAAAUGCUCAAAACGAGGGUCUAGUUGUUGCACCAGACUCCGAGGGAGCUCGGCAAAAAGUUCUUAUACUAGACUUGCUUUGUUAGAAGGAACAAUUAGGUGCUUAUCGUUAAUCUGUUGGACUUCAAUGUAGUAAUUUGAUUAUGAAUUGCUAUAUUUAUAGAAUGGUUUGAGUACAAUUGAACAGUGGAGGCAUGUUAUGUAUCGUCACAUUAUUCGUACAGCUAUUCGAAACCAUGUUUGCUC